CCACGGAGAAACUCCAGCUUUCCCCUGUGCGGUAGAGUCCCGGCGCGCCGGGAUUAAUCACUUGGUCGUAGGUUCGAUCCCUACCUCCGGAGCCA
rnacentral:tRNA from 1 species